rnacentral:rRNA from 1 species
AAAGCAUCUAAGCGCGAAGCGAGCCCUGAGAUGAGUCUUCCCUGACAGUUUAACUGUCCUAAAGGGUUGUUCGAGACUAGAACGUUGAUAGGCAGGGUGUGUAAGCGUUGUGAGGCGUUGAGCUAACCUGUACUAAUUGCCCGUGAGGCUUAACCAU